rnacentral:tRNA from 1 species
ACCUGGCUGGCUCAGUCAAUAGAGCAUGCCACUCUUGAUGCUGAGGUCAUAGGUUUGAGCCCCAUGUUGGGUA